UGGGGAAUAUUGCACAAUGGAGGAAACUCUGAUGCAGCGACGCCGCGUGAGUGAAGAAGGUCUUCGGAUCGUAAAACUCUGUCCUUGGUGACGAAAAAAAUGACGGUAGCCAAGGAGGAAGCCCCGGCUAACUACGUGCCAGCAGCCGCGGUAAUACGUGGGGGGCAAGCGUUGUCCGGAUUUACUGGGUGUAAAGGGUGCUCAGGCGGAUUUGUAAGUCAGAGGUGAAAUCUUACAGCUUAACUGUGAAACUGCCUUUGAUACUGCAAGCCUAGAGUAUGGAAGAGNGUGAUGGAAUAUCUGGUGUAGCAGUGAAAUGCGUAGAUAUCAGAUAGAACACCAAUGGCGAAGGCAGUCACUUGGUCCAUUACUGACGCUAAAGCACGAAAGCGUGGGUAGCAAACA
rnacentral:rRNA from 1 species